rnacentral:lncRNA from 1 species
GCCUCGAGCGUGUGGCGGGAUUGCGGAAGCCCUCCACAGUUCAUAACCGUUGGCUGGUUAUGAACCGUUCAUAACGGGCGUUAAUAACCAUACCCUGUUAGACUAAGCAUGGUCCACCCGCGAAUCCUCUACAGAGAUGGCCAAGCGCUGGGGUCGUGGCUGCGUCCUCUAGGCCAGUCUCGCUCUGUCACCCAGGCUGGAGUCCAGUGGCACAAUUUCAGCUUACUACAACCUCUGCCUUUCCCCGGGUUCAAGCGAUUUUCAUGCCUCGGCCUCCCAAGUAGCUGGGAUUACAGAGAGCACCUGCAGCCUAAACAAGGACAAAAGUUGAAGCAUGGAUCUUUCUGUGCAGCAGCUGUGAUUUCUGCACCUUCUAGCUCCCUCGCCGAGCACCACUCCCUCAUAUCUUGCUGGCAGAGCAAGGCAGCAUCGUGAGCAGAGCAAGUCCUAAGAAGUACAUGGGUUCAAAUCUGGUCUCUGUCACUGACCAACAGACUCUUUACCUUUCUGAGCCUUAGUUUCUUCAACUCCUGCUUCAUUUCACAUUUUAAAAAGUAGAAUAAAGACAAACUCCAUGUUUUUAUCUCUGGCAAACUUUAUCAAGCACACAACUGCCCCACGAGGACCCGACAUCUUGAAUAUACUAAUCCUGCAGUUUCCAUUCCCAUUGUCUUUUCUCUAGAACCUCUUUCCUAGAAAACUUAGCUAUUCCUAUAAUAGAAAAAUCAUCCCACUUCAUGUGGACAAUUCCCAGAGCCCCAUCUCCAGCCCUGGCCUCCCCCUCCCUCCAAGUGCCAGUCCUUGAUCUCCACGUGCACAAUGCACAUCACCAGAAACGUAGUGAGGGCACUUCUGGUGCCACAUAAACCUCCACUCGUCACCUUCAUUGCACUCACCCAUUUUUCUCUCCUAGUUAAUAGCUUUGUCAUCAACCUCCAAUUCCCACAGACCUGAGUCACUUGCCUACAAUCCAUGAUCAGUCUCCUGACGACCUCUGACACAGCCCUUUCACCCCCAAGCCCACUGCCACCACGCUGACUCCUGUUCCCAUUCCCUCACCUCUGACCUUUUACAUAGGACCUGCCUCCUCGCCCCUGCAUCUCCCAUCCACCCAUUCUACCCAAACACGCUGCUACCCAAAUCACCCUCUUAGGGGAAGGGGCAGCAGAUUACAGCCCCUGGGCCGAAUCAGCCUGCCAAGUGUUUUUGUAAAUAAAGCUUUGUGGGAACACAGCACAUCCAUUCCUUUACAUACUGUCUGUGGUUGCUUUCGUGCUAUAAUGGCAGAGUUGCCACAGAGACUGUAUAGCCUGUGAACCUGAAAUUACUUGCCAACUGGCCCUCUACAGAAAAAAAUGUGUGGACCUCUGCCCUAGACAUGGUUUGGAUGACAGUUCCUUCAGCUCAAAACUUUUGCAGGCUGUCCUCUUCAUACAGAGUUUAAGCCAGUAUGACUUACACUGGGGAUUCAAGACACAUCAGAUCCUGACUUUCAGGCCCCUUGACCCUAAAUGCUCACCACACAGCCUGUUGCCUGGACCCCACUCCCAGAGCCUUUGCUCACAGAAGCCCCCACCUCAAACACUCCUUUUCACUUACACAGGCAGGCACUUGGCAAAAUGCACAUUUUCUUCCAACUCAGUUGCUCUCUCUGCCCCCCAGGCCACCACAGCCCUCCAUAGCCUUUCUAUCCACUUUCUCAGCACUCGCUGCUCCUGCCCCCAUGUCCAGCUACCCGGUAACAACUCAGUCUCUACUGAAUCUUGAGCCUCUUGAAGGCAAGACUCUCUUUUGCUGCUCACUAUGAGGUCCAGC